UACGAAGGGGGCUAGCGUUGCUCGGAAUCACUGGGCGUAAAGCGCACGUAGGCGGAUUGCUAAGUCAGGGGUGAGAUCCUGGAGCUCAACUCCAGAACUGCCUUUGAUACUGGCAAUCUCGAGUCCGGGAGAGGUGAGUGGAACUGCGAGUGUAGAGGUGAAAUUCGUAGAUAUUCGCAAGAACACCAGUGGCGAAGGCGGCUCACUGGCCCGGUACUGACGCUGAGGUGCGAAAGCGUGGGGAGCAAACAGG
rnacentral:rRNA from 1 species